AUUGAACGCUGGCGGCAUGCCUUACACACGCAAGUCGAACGGUAACGGGCCUUCGGGUGCCGACGAGUGGCGAACGGGUGAGUAAUACAUCGGAACGUGCCCGAUCGUGGGGGAUAACGAGGCGAAAGCUUUGCUAAUACCGCAUACGAUCUACGGAUGAAAGCAGGGGACCGCAAGGCCUUGCGCGGACGGAGCGGCCGAUGGCAGAUUAGGUAGUUGGUGGGAUAAAAGCUUACCAAGCCGACGAUCUGUAGCUGGUCUGAGGGGAUGAUCAGCCACACUGGGACUGAGACACGGCCCAGACUCCUACGGGAGGCAGCAGUGGGGAAUUUUGGACAAUGGGCGCAAGCCUGAUCCAGCCAUGCCGCGUGCAGGAUGAAGGCCUUCGGGUUGUAAACUGCUUUUGUACGGAACGAAAAGCCUUCUUUUAAUACAGGAGGGUCAUGACGGUACCGUAAGAAUAAGCACCGGCUAACUACGUG
rnacentral:rRNA from 1 species